GGUGGUCUAGCGGUUAGAACGCUGGUCUUGUAAUCCUGGGGUCUCGGGUUCGAUUCCCGGUGGUUCCA
rnacentral:tRNA from 1 species